AUGAUAAAUUAUGAAGACAAACCUGUCCAGUGAGAGAGAAUGUCCAGCUAAACAAAUGUCCAGUUAUAAAGAGUUGAAAUGAUAAGUUGAAUUAUGAUAAUUUAUGAAGGAGAUUGUGCAGGGACAAAAAUGCCCGUCCAGUUAGAGAGUGUCCAGUUAUCAAGAGCUGAAUUAUGAAGGAUUGUGCAGGGACAAAAAUGCCCGUCCAGUUAAGAGAGAGUGUCCAGUUAUCAAGAGCUGAAUUAUGAAGGAUUGUGCAGGGACAAAAAUGCCCGUCCAGUUAGA